rnacentral:rRNA from 1 species
GCAGUCGAACGCGCAGCGAAAGGUGCUUGCACCUUUCAAGCGAGUGGCGAACGGGUGAGUAACACGUGGAUAACCUGCCUCAAGGCUGGGGAUAACAUUUGGAAACAGAUGCUAAUACCGAAUAAAACUUAGUAUCGCAUGAUACAAAGUUGAAAGGCGCUACGGCGUCACCUAGAGAUGGGUCCGCGGUGCAUUAGUUAGUUGGUGGGGUAAAGGCCUACCAAGACAAUGAUGCAUAGCCGAGUUGAGAGACUGAUCGGCCACAUUGGGACUGAGACACGGCCCAAACUCCUACGGGAGGCUGCAGUAGGGAAUCUUCCACAAUGGGCGCAAGCCUGAUGGAGCAACGCCGCGUGUGUGAUGAAGGCUUUCGGGUCGUAAAGCACUGUUGUAUGGGAAGAAAUGCUAGAAUAGGGAAUGAUUCUAGUUCGACGGUACCAUACCAGAAAGGGACGGCUAAAUACGUGCCAGCAGCCGCGGUAAUACGUAUGUCCCGAGCGUUAUCCGGAUUUAUUGGGCGUAAAGCGAGCGCAGACGGUUGAUUAAGUCUGAUGUGAAAGCCCGGAGCUCAACUCCGGAAUGGCAUUGGAAACUGGUUAACUUGAGUGUUGUAGAGGUAAGUGGAACUCCAUGUGUAGCGGUGGAAUGCGUAGAUAUAUGGAAGAACACCAGUGGCGAAGGCGGCUUACUGGACAACAACUGACGUUGAGGCUCGAAAGUGUGGGUAGCAAACAGGAUUAGAUACCCUGGUAGUCCACACCGUAAACGAUGAAUACUAUGUGUUAGGAGGUUUCCGCCUCUUAGUGCCGAAGCUAACGCAUUAAGUAUUCCGCCUGGGGGA